rnacentral:tRNA from 1 species
UAGCUCAGUGGUACAGCACCUGCCUGGCAAGCAGGAGGUCUGAGUUUGAUUCCUGG